rnacentral:rRNA from 1 species
GCACAACGCGAAGAACCUUACCUACUCUUGACAUCCAGAGAACUUAGCAGAGAUGCUUUGGUGCCUUCGGGAACUCUGAGACAGGUGCUGCAUGGCUGUCGUCAGCUCGUGUUGUGAAAUGUUGGGUUAAGUCCCGCAACGAGCGCGACCCUUAUCCUUUGUUGCCAGCGGUUCGGCCGGGAACUCAAAGGAGACUGCCAGUGAUAAACUGGAGGAAGGUGGGGAUGACGUCAAGUCAUCAUGGCCCUUACGAGUAGGGCUACACACGUGCUACAAUGGCAUAUACAAAGAGAAGCGACCUCGCGAGAGCAAGCGGACCUCAUAAAGUAUGUCGUAGUCCGGAUUGGAGUCUGCAACUCGACUCCAUGAAGUCGGAAUCGCUAGUAAUCGUGGAUCAGAAUGCCACGGUGAAUACGUUCCCGGGUCUUGUACACACCG